rnacentral:misc_RNA from 1 species
GUGAAUCAUCGAAUCUUUGAACGCAAAUUGCACUCUCUUCGGAGAGUAUGCCUGUUUGAGGGUCAGCCUAAAAAAAAUCGACAUAGUUGCUGUUACGCGGUAACAUUCGUCGGAAAUUGGGUCAUCUUAAACCUUUGGGUUUAAGCGGCUUAAAAUUUUCUUUACGAUUCCAGGAACGUUUCUAGGUUUUUAUUUUCUUAUAGGUUUAAGUUUUGGAUCUUAUUUGGAGGGG